CCCCCUUCCCCUCAGGGACCCUCCAAAAACUGGCCCCACCCCCCAGGAUACUCUCCCCUGGAAUGCCCCUGGGAUAUUUCCCCUUCCCUUCAGGCCCCCACCAUCCCUGGUGGAUAUCUCUGUUCCCCGCAGGGAUCCCCCCUGGAACGGACCCCAACCCCUGGGAUAUUUUCCCUUCCCUUCGGAAUCCCCCCACAGGAACAGACCUCCCCAGGAUACCCCCUCUUUCCCUGUAGCUCAUGAGACAUCCAUCCGUUGAUGGACAGGCUUCCCCCCACUGCUGGGUGCCAUCUCUGAGGUACCGAAAAAGGGACGUGCGAGAUGAUGCUGAGCCCAAAAUAUUGGCCUGCUGGGAGUGUGUAGUGAGCGUCCCGACAGAUUUCCCAGGAGAGCGACUUCAGAAAAGGGAUGAUCCUGGGCAAACCUGGAUAGAUAGCAACCCUACGCUCCUCACUCCCACAGUCCACAGCACUCUCCUACCCCCCUUCAGCCCCCAGGGGAAUGCGCUCGCCUCCCACCCAACUGGAGCCUGCCUGGGGUUGCAUUCCCCCCGUACCUCAGAGGUGUGCUUCUCGCCUUCCUCUGCUGCAGGGUCCGUGCAACGUGACAGCGCACACUGGCUACAAGACGGCUUUAGGAAGAAUGCACUUUCAUGAAUAUUUUAUUUACUGCUGAAUUGAGUGAAUCCUAAUAUUGAGGGACAGCCCAGAGGAAAAUGGCAUCCGGGCCUGACCUGCCUUACUCCUCAAUAGACAAAGAAGCAAGAUUAAAGUUUUGUGGAUACCCAACUGCCUUUAACUUCCAGCCAGACAUCUGCUACAAAGGGAAGAAGGGACCCCACUUCAGCAUCUCCACUGGAAGGGUUGCGUAAUGGAACAUGGAGGCGGACUCAUCCAUCCUGAUUAAAAAACAGCUUCAUCUCUCAAAUACUGCGGAUUCUCCAUCUCAUAAGGUCAUGGAAGUCGGAGGUGCAGUGUGGGGCCACUAACAGUGAUGUUGACCAUGUGACUACAAUGCAGCCCCCCUGUUUAUAUACAUGCCGACUCCUGAUGCAUCCUGUAGCAGCAGGGCAACGUUGGCAGCCUGCCAGAAUAACACUGUCACGGAGUCCCCGGGCGAUGCUCUGGACCUGCUCCCUACGAAGCCAGUCAGGACUCUGGGGAAGUCUCCUUUCUGUGAGCAGCCUGUCUUCAGGAC